AUUGAACGCUGGCGGCAUGCUUUACACAUGCAAGUCGAACGGUAACAGGCCUUCGGGUGCUGACGAGUGGCGAACGGGUGAGUAGUGCAUCGGAACGUACCCAGAGGUGGGGGAUAACGCAGCGAAAGCUGUGCUAAUACCGCAUGUGAUCUGAGGAUGAAAGCGGGGAACCGAGCAGCAAUGUUUGGCCUCGCGCCUUUGGAGCGGCCGAUGUCGGAUUAGCUAGUUGGUGGGGUAAAGGCCUACCAAGGCGACGAUCCGUAGCUGGUCUGAGAGGACGACCAGCCACACUGGGACUGAGACACGGCCCAGACUCCUACGGGAGGCAGCAGUGGGGAAUUUUGGACAAUGGGCGCAAGCCUGAUCCAGCAAUGCCGCGUGCGGGAAGAAGGCCUUCGGGUUGUAAACCGCUUUUGGCAGGAACGAAACGGUGUCUGCUAAUACCGGGCGCUAAUGACGGUACCUGCAGAAUAAGCACCGGCUAACUACGUG
rnacentral:rRNA from 1 species